UCCAGGACCAUCCACGGGUUCUCUUGUCCUUCAUUCCACCGGAGUCUGUCUGCGGCAACCAGACUUCAGUGGAGUGAAGCUCAGGAGUCGUGGAGCUGC
rnacentral:pre_miRNA from 13 species